UGAAUCAUCAAGAGUCUUGAGAGAUAGC
rnacentral:piRNA from 1 species